rnacentral:sRNA from 1 species
GGAGCGAAGCGGGGAAGGCUGUCGUUGGUCCACAUUCGGACAUAGAAUACACGAAGAUGUAGGUGAAGUUGUUAUAAAGGAUCUAAAGCCACAGACUUUAGAUUUCAUACUGCAACAUUCUUCACGCAAAGAGGACGUAAAACCCGUAUAGUGCUUGAUUUGCCUUUUCGGAAGCAGCUGAGAAACACUAGUGAAACCCUUUCCAUAAGGAGCUCUUA